GAUGAACGCUAGCGGCAGGCUUAACACAUGCAAGUCGAGGGGUAACAGGUAGCUUGCUAUGCUGACGACCGGCGCACGGGUGCGUAACGCGUAUAGAACCUACCUUAUAGUAAGGGAUAGCCCAGAGAAAUUUGGAUUAAUACCUUAUAGUAUUAUUGAAUGGCAUCGUUUAAUAAUUAAAGAUUUAUUGCUAUAAGAUGGCUAUGCGUUCUAUUAGCUAGUUGGUAUGGUAACGGCAUACCAAGGCUACGAUAGAUAGGGGUCCUGAGAGGGAGAUCCCCCACACUGGUACUGAGACACGGACCAG
rnacentral:rRNA from 1 species